rnacentral:rRNA from 1 species
GACGAACGCUGGCGGCGUGCUUAACACAUGCAAGUCGAACGGAAAGGCCCUGCUUUUGUGGGGUGCUCGAGUGGCGAACGGGUGAGUAACACGUGAGUAACCUGCCCUUGACUUUGGGAUAACUUCAGGAAACUGGGGCUAAUACCGGAUAGGAGCUCCUGCUGCAUGGUGGGGGUUGGAAAGUGUCGGCGGUUGGGGCUGGACUCGCGGGUUAUCAGCUUGUUGGUGGGGGAGUGGCUUACCAAGGCUUUGACGGGUCGGCGGCCUGAGAGGGUGAACGGCGUCAUUGGGCCUGAGAUACGGCCCAGACGCCUACGGGAGGCAGCAGGGGGGAACCUUGCGCAAUGGUGGGAAGCCUGAGGCAGCAACCCCGCGUGCGGAAUGACGGCCUUCGGGUUGUAAACCGCUUUCGCCUGUGACGAAGCGUGAGUGACGGUAAUGGGUAAAGAAGCACCGGCUAACUACGUG